GAGGCCAGACGAACACAUUGCAAUCAGGUACUCCAGUAAAAAGAUGUGAGCCGUACCCGUGCCCCUAAAUCUUGAUAAUAUGCUCUCUCUGGGGGGGAUGACGACGAGGGUUCUGGUGGCAAGGGCAGGGAUGUUCUUCCUGUGGAGAAUGGUUAUUAUUUUGAACUGAGGUUGCACAAUAUCAAGCACGACAAAUUGUUAAAAGAGGCUUGCCAGAGGCUGACCAGAAGGCUGAAAGCUGAAACUCCUAACAAGGAUGUCCCUCCAAAUUUAUGGUCAUCUAAGCCUCCAAACACUCAGUGGAAGGGACAGGUUAGUUCAUAUGAAUGGCUUGACUGGGUAGGAUAUUUUGGCAAUGUGGAACUACAUCGGACUGAACAGGAGAAGCACCAACCUUUCUCUUUCUCCCUCUUUUUGAGACAAUGCUUGAAGAGUUUUGCAGCCAUGAUUGGUCUCGUCAACAUUGUCUAGUCGCUGCAAAACCGAAAA